rnacentral:tRNA from 1 species
GGGGUUUAGGGGGCAUGGCAGCGGAUUGCAAAUCCGCCAUCCCGGGUUCGAAUCCCGGCGGCGCCU